UGGGGAAUUUUGGACAAUGGGCGCGAGCCUGAUCCAGCCAUGCCGCGUGCGGGAAGAAGGCCUUCGGGUUGUAAACCGCUUUUGUCAGGGAAGAAAUCUUCUGAGUUAAUACCUCGGGAGGAUGACGGUACCUGAAGAAUAAGCACCGGCUAACUACGUGCCAGCAGCCGCGGUAAUACGUAGGGUGCAAGCGUUAAUCGGAAUUACUGGGCGUAAAGCGUGCGCAGGCGGUUUUGUAAGACAGAGGUGAAAUCCCCGGGCUCAACCUGGGAACUGCCUUUGUGACUGCAAGGCUUGAGUGCGGCAGAGGGGGAUGGAAUUCCGCGUGUAGCAGUGAAAUGCGUAGAUAUGCGGAGGAACACCGAUGGCGAAGGCAAUCCCCUGGGCCUGCACUGACGCUCAUGCACGAAAGCGUGGGGAGCAAACAGGAUUAGAUACCCUGGUAGUCCACGCCCUAAACGAUGUCAACUGGUUGUUGGGAAGGUUCCUUCUCAGUAACGUAGCUAACGCGUGAAGUUGACCGCCUGGGGAGUACGGCC
rnacentral:rRNA from 1 species